GAUGAACGCUGGCGGCGUGCCUAACACAUGCAAGUCGAACGAAAACACGAUGAGCUUUCUCUUCUAACGGUAGCGGGGGACGGACGGGUAAGACAUGGAUAAGCUACUUAUAAUUCUGGGAUAACAUCGGUAAACAAUAGCUAAUACCACCUAAUAUAUUCAACGGCAUAGUGCAAUAGUUCAAGACGGUUUUGCUGUCUGUUUUAGAUGAAUCCGUGCCGGAUUAGCUAGUUGGUAAGGUAACGGCUCACCAAGGCAACGAUGCGUAGCCGACCUGAGAGGAUGAUCGGCCACACUGGAACUGAGACACGGUCCAGACUCCUACGGGAGGCAGCAGUAGGGAAUAUUGCACAAUGGGCGCAAGCUUGACGGAGCAACGCCGCGUGAGUGAAGAAGGUCUUCGGGUUGUAAAACUCUGUUGUUGGGAAAGAAAAGCUGCGUAUGAAAAUACGGACGUCUUGACGGUACCCAAAGAGUAAGCACCGGCUAACUACGUG
rnacentral:rRNA from 1 species